AAAAUCCGCCGACUUUAUAAAUCGUGA
rnacentral:tRNA from 1 species